UACGUAGGGGGCAAGCGUUAUCCGGAAUUAUUGGGCGUAAAGCGCGCGCAGGUGGUUUCUUAAGUCUGAUGUGAAAGCCCACGGCUCAACCGUGGAGGGUCAUUGGAAACUGGGAGACUUGAGUGCGGAAGAGGAAAGUGGAAUUCCAUGUGUAGCGGUGAAAUGCGUAGAGAUAUGGAGGAACACCAGUGGCGAAGGCGACUUUCUGGUCUGUAACUGACACUGAGGCGCGAAAGCGUGGGGAGCAAACAGG
rnacentral:rRNA from 1 species